rnacentral:lncRNA from 1 species
AUGAGUGUCACUAGUGUGAGUGAGAGAUGAAACGGUAUGAAAAUUUCAUAUCACGAUUUAGUGACCAAAAUGACCACGGUUAUCAGUGUUAACAGUGUUAUCAGUGUUAUCAGAAAUCAAAUAAACAAACAAAUAAAAUUAGCAGCACUCACUUUGUAGUGAGACACGGCAAUUUAUCGGCUCAGAAAGCCACGCUUACUUCAGCCAGAAGCCAGGCUCUCCUUAUUCAGCCUCAGAAAGCAGGCCUCUCCUUUAUCAGCCUCAGAAAGCCAGGCUUCUCCUUUAUCAGCCUCAGAAAGCCAGGCCUCUCCUUUAUCAGCCUCAGAAAAGCAGGCCUCCCCUUUAUCCUCAGAAAGCCAGGCCUCCCCUUUAUCAGCCUCAGAAAGCCAGGCCUCCCCUUUAUCAGCCUCAGAAAGCCAGGCCUCCCCUUUAUCAGCCUCAGAAAGCCAGGCCUCUCAACAAUUUGAAGUGGCAUCAUGUCCUUUUUAUUUAUUUAUUUUGUCCUAUUUGUUACUUUUAUUUCUCUUUUUAUUUUUUAUUUUUUCUGCAUUGUUGGUUAAGGGCUCGUAAGUAAGCAUUUCACUGUACGGUCUACAACUGUUGUAUUCGGUGACAAUAAAAUGUGAUUUGAUUGAACCUAUUUCAGUCCAAGUCAAGCACUGAUGCCGACUGAACUACAGAUCCAUAUUUUGGGUAUUGCGGAGCCAUUUUAUGCGCUGGGGUAAAAUAUAAUCCACUAACCCUUACCUGCCACUUGAAAAGUCCCCGGCGAAUGAUCAUGCAUUUUGCCGGUGCAUUUAAGUGCCCCGUUGCCACGGUAACCGGUCCCUUACACCUCAACAGGCUGUCCGGUGUAGAGGUGGUCUUGAUGUUGAGGUUAUGAUGAUUCCUCAUGCUGUAGUGGGGUGUGGUCUCUGAGUUGAUGAACCCCCACAUCACAUCCAGAGUGGGGUGGCAGGUAGUCUAGUGGUUAGGGUGGAGGGACGGCAGGUAGUCUAGUGGUAUGUGGGGGAGGCAGGUAGUCUAGUGGUUAGAGUUGGAGGGCGGCAGG